ACUCAAAUGAAUAGACGGGGGCCCGCACAAGCGGUGGAGCAUGUGGUUCAAUUCGACGCAACGCGAAGAACCUUACCUGGGCUCGAAAUGCAGGAGAUCGGGGUGGAAACAUCCCUUCCCCUUAAAAGGCUGCUGCAUAGGUGCUGCAUGGCUGUCGUCAGCUCGUGUCGUGAGAUGUUGGGUUAAGUCCCGCAACGAGCGCAACCCUUAUCCCUAGUUGCCACCGGGUAAUGCCGAGCUACACUAGUGAAACUGCCUGGGAUAACCAGGAGGAAGGUGGGGAUGACGUCAAGUCCUCAUGGCCUUUAUGUCCAGGGCUACACACGUGCUACAAUGGUCGGUACAAACCGUCGCAAACCCGUGAGGGGAAGCUAAUCGGAAAAAGCCGGCCUCAGUUCGGAUUGGAGUCUGCAACUCGACUCCAUGAAGCUGGAAUCGCUAGUAAUCGCGGAUCAGAACGCCGCGGUGAAUACGUUCCCGGGCCUUGCACACACCGCCCGU
rnacentral:rRNA from 1 species